rnacentral:rRNA from 1 species
GUGGUAAUGCCGGAUGCUCCGACUCCUCGCAUGGGGUGUCGGGAAAGAUUUCAUCGGUAUGGGAUGGGGUCGCGUCCUAUCAGGUAGUCGGCGGGGUAACGGCCCACCGAGCCUACGACGGGUAGCCGGCCUGAGAGGGCGACCGGCCACAUUGGGACUGAGAUACGGCCCAGACUCCUACGGGAGGCAGCAGUGGGGAAUAUUGCACAAUGGGCGCAAGCCUGAUGCAGCGACGCCGCGUGCGGGAUGACGGCCUUCGGGUUGUAAACCGCUUUUGAUCGGGAGCAAGCCUUCGGGUGAGUGUACCUUUCGAAUAAGCACCGGCUAACUACGUGCCAGCAGCCGCGGUAAUACGUAGGGUGCAAGCGUUAUCCGGAAUUAUUGGGCGUAAAGGGCUCGUAGGCGGUUCGUCGCGUCCGGUGUGAAAGUCCAUCGCUUAACGGUGGAUCUGCGCCGGGUACGGGCGGGCUGGAGUGCGGUAGGGGAGACUGGAAUUCCCGGUGUAACGGUGGAAUGUGUAGAUAUCGGAA